UGGGGAAUAUUGGACAAUGGGGGCAACCCUGAUCCAGCCAUGCCGCGUGAGUGAUGACGGUCUUAGGAUUGUAAAGCUCUUUCAGUGGGGACGAUAAUGACGGUACCCACAGAAGAAGCCCCGGCUAACUUCGUGCCAGCAGCCGCGGUAAUACGAAGGGGGCUAGCGUUGUUCGGAAUUACUGGGCGUAAAGCGCACGUAGGCGGAUCAGCCAGUCAGGGGUGAAAUCCCAGGGCUCAACCCUGGAACGGCCUCUGAUACUGUUGAUCUAGAGUGUGAGAGAGGUGAGUGGAAUUGCGAGUGUAGAGGUGAAAUUCGUAGAUAUUCGCAGGAACACCAGUGGCGAAGGCGGCUCACUGGCUCACAACUGACGCUGAGGUGCGAAAGCGUGGGGAGCAAACAGG
rnacentral:rRNA from 1 species